rnacentral:misc_RNA from 1 species
AUAUUAUUGAAGGCAAAUUAAUUGGAAAGGUAAUGAGUGUGAAAUAUAUAAUUAUUUUUCCAUUUGUGUUAUUUAAUUCAAUUUAUGUGUUGGAAAUAUGAUCUAUUACAUAUCUUACCAUGGAAAUUCAAAUAGAAUAUAUUAAUGAACUUCAACAAUUGUUUUUGAGGUGGUUACUAAUGCUAGGAAAAAGCCAUUGAAGAAUUACCCUUAUUCAGUCAUUUUUCAUUUGCCUACUAUUUUGAAUGGUG